UACGUAGGGUGCAAGCGUUGUCCGGAAUUAUUGGGCGUAAAGAGCGUGUAGGCGGCCCGAUUAGUCCGCUGUGAAAGUCCAGGGCUCAACCCUGGAAUGCCGGUUGAUACUGUCGGGCUAGAGUCCGGAAGGGGCGAGUGGAAUUCCUGGUGUAGCGGUGAAAUGCGCAGAUAUCAGGAGGAACACCAAUGGCGAAGGCAGCUCGCUGGGACGUGACUGACGCUGAGACGCGAAAGCGUGGGGAGCAAACAGG
rnacentral:rRNA from 1 species